AUGCGUAUGUUGAGAUGGAUGUGUGGCCACACGAGGAAGGAUCGAGUCCGGAAUGAUGAUAUACGAGAUAGAGUUGGGGUAGCACCAAUUGAGGAGAAGCUUGUCCAACAUCGUUUGAGAUGGUUUGGGCAUAUUCAGCGCAGGCCUCCAGAAGCUCCAGUGCAUAGCGGACGGCUAAAGCGUGCGGAGAAUGUUAAGAGAGGGCGGGGUCGACCGAUUUUGACAUGGGAGGAGUCCGUUAAGAGAGACCUGAAGGAUUGGAGUAUCGACAAAGAGCUAGCUAUGGACAGGGGUGCGUGGAAGCUUGCUAUCCAUGUGCCAGAGCCAUGA
rnacentral:rRNA from 1 species